rnacentral:tRNA from 1 species
CAAGCGAUAAUUUAGACCUCAGAAUUUUGGCCUUGGGUGUCAAGAGUGAAAGUGAAAAUCUUUCUUGUUUGA